GGCCUAGCAAGGCGUGGACAAGUAAGGGGCCUGAGAAGGGUGGACGGCCACAUGGGACUGAGAUACAGCCCAGACUCCUACGGGAGGCAGCAGGGGGGAAUAUUGCACAAUGGGCGCAAAGCCUGAUGCAGCGACGCCGCGUGGGGGAUGACGGCCUUCGGGUUGUAAACUCCUUUCAGCCAUGACGAAGCCUCUUUUGGGGUGACGGUAGUGGUAGAAGAAGCACCGGCUAACUACGUGCCAGCAGCCGCGGUAAUACGUAGGGUGCGAGCGUUGUCCGGAAUUACUGGGCGUAAAGAGCUCGUAGGUGGUCUGUCGCGUCAUUUGUGAAAGCCCGGGGCUUAACUCCGGGUUGGCGGGUGAUACGGGCAUGACUGGAGUACUGUAGGGGAGACUGGAAUUCCUGGUGUAGCGGUGAAAUGCGCAGAUAUCAGGAGGAACACCGGUGGCGAAGGCGGGUCUCUGGGCAGUAACUGACGCUGAGGAGCGAAAGCAUGGGUAGCGAACAGG
rnacentral:rRNA from 1 species